rnacentral:lncRNA from 1 species
AACCAUGCAACUAUCUUGCACCAAAAUUAAUACUAUCUCCAACUGGUCUGAAGUGAGAUUCCAUUCUCUUUCUCAUCUGUCUUUUGGAAAAAAAGAAAAAUAUCAUUUCGAAAAGUUUUCCAUAUCUCUUCUCUACCUUUUCGCACUUGCCAAACCAAUGUCACCUAUGCGCAAUUAUACACGCGGUCUGAGAGCGCGCAUCCCGAGAAGUAGCACGAGAUGGGAAAGAAAAAGAAGAAAAUAUAGGGUUCUAGGUAAGAGGAGCGCAAGAGAAAGAUCUAGUGGAAAGGCUUAAAUACAUAGAGAAACAAAAUUCAGGAUUUCUUAAGCAAAACUUGAGACCAAGUCGUGG